AUUGAACGCUGGCGGCAGGCCUAACACAUGCAAGUCGAGCGGAUGACGGGAGCUUGCUCCUUGAUUCAGAGGCGGACGGGUGAGUAAUGCCUAGGAAUCUGCCUGGUAGUGGGGGACAACGUUUCGAAAGGAACGCUAAUACAGCAUACGUCCUACGGGAGAAAGCAGGGGACCUUAGGGCCUUGAGCUAUAAGAUGAGCCUAGGUCGGAUUAGCUAGUAGGUGAGGUAAUGGCUCACCUAGGCGACGAUCCGUAACUGGGCUGAGAGGAUGAGCAGUCACACAGGAACUGAGACACGGUCCAGACUCCUACGGGAGGCAGCAGUGGGUAAUAUUGGACAAUGGGCGAAAGCCUGAUCCAGCCAUGGAGCGUGUGUGAAGAAGGUCUUCGGAUUGUAAAGCACUUUAAGUUGGGAGGAAGGGCAGUAAGUUAAUACCUUGCUGGUUUGACAUUACCGACAGAAUAAGCACCGGCUAACUCUGUGCCAGCAGCCGCCGUAACAC
rnacentral:rRNA from 1 species